rnacentral:tRNA from 2 species
GGAGAGGUGUCCGAGUGGUUGAAGGAGCACGACUCGAAAUCGUGUAGGCGUGUAAGCGUCUCGUGGGUUCGAAUCCCACCCUCUCUGCCA